UGUGCAGCAGUCGCGAAUUUUUCACAAUGGGCGCAAGCCUGAUGGAGCGACGCCGCGUGGGGGAUGAAUGGCUUCGGCCCGUAAACCCCUGUCAUUCGCGAUCAAACCUCGCUAUUUAAAAGAUGGCGAGCUGAUAGUAGCGGAAGAGGAAGGGACGGCUAACUCUGUGCCAGCAGCCGCGGUAAUACAGAGGUCCCGAGCGUUGUUCGGAUUCACUGGGCGUAAAGGGUGCGUAGGUGGUGAGGUAAGUCGGAUGUGAAAGCUCGGAGCUCAACUCCGAAAUGGCAUUGGAAACUACCUUGCUUGAGGGUUGGAGGGGGGACUGGAAUACUUGGUGUAGCAGUGAAAUGCGUAGAUAUCAAGUGGAACACCAGUGGCGAAGGCGAGUCCCUGGACAACACCUGACACUGAGGCACGAAAGCUAGGGGAGCAAACAGGAUUAGAUACCCUGGUAGC
rnacentral:rRNA from 1 species